AUUACAACUUUCAACAACGGAUCUCUUGGUUCUGGCAUCGAUGAAGAACGCAGCGAAAUGCGAUAAGUAGUGUGAAUUGCAGAAUUCAGUGAAUCAUCGAAUCUUUGAACGCACAUUGCGCCCUUUGGUAUUCCAAAGGGCAUGCCUGUUCGAGCGU
rnacentral:rRNA from 1 species